AGUGAUUAUAAAAACAGUUGUACGAACAUCAUAUUUAAAGUUACAGAGAUUAAAUAUGAGAUGAAAGAAAAAUAUUCAUUUAAGAGUAAAAGGAUUCAUACAACUCCAAGAAUAUAAAAUUAAAUAUAUAAAACCCGUGUCGCUUUGUUAGCGCUGCAUCCAGCCCUGGAGAGGACAUCAGCCUUCCAUAUUGUUGUGGACGAUAGCAGUAGCGCAGAGGACUCCGACUGCCAUCAUGGCUACCUCCUUCUUCUCUCCGUCUUCUCCCUCCUUCUGACUUCUUUGAAAACUCGGCUAUAGGGAGAAGCUCGCUGAUCCUUCCAUCCGAAGAAUGCCCCCACUGGUUUCCAUGAAGAGCCUUUUAUAGACUGCAUACCUCCCCCUCUCUCCCCUGUUCCAAGUUGAGAUAAAGAUGGAUCAACGGCUGCAGGAUAAGGCCGAGACUGGAUGAUUACGAACAGAUUGAACGUGAAACAGGGGAGAGAAGUUAGGAUCUCGGCUGAUAGCUGGGAACGGAUGCCUGGGCUUUAUCCCGUGGGUGAUGGAAGAUGGGAUUCUCGGACGCGGAAGAGGGUUGUUUUCGUGAAAUCUGGGAGGAGGCUGGAGCAUGGAAGCAAGGGAUGAGUUUGGAUGACUCUGUUCCGCCUGUGGAUCAUGGAAUCAACCCGGAACGAGAGGAAGCUUGGAUUGAAUCCGGAGUAGAAAAUCGUGGGAGGCAAUCGGGAUGAUUGUGGGACAUUGGGAUGCCUGAUUUUCGGAGAAGAUGAACUCUUCCGUGGAUAAAAACGGGGAGGCUGGGAGCUAGCGGAAGAAGCGGAAUACGUGGGAGAGGGUGAAUUCUGUUCUAUUUCCGUGGCUGGGGAGCUUGGUCUGUGGACGCGACGUGGAAGGAAUCCGUCGCGGGUUGGCUUGAUUCGGCUGGGAGGGAGGCUAUCGCGAAUGAAAAUAAUCCAGAGAAGAUGGGAUAUGGGAUGCAGGGGAUGCAGAUAGAGCUUAUCCGGAACUUUGUUCCGAAGCAAGGGAAUGUGUUUGGAUGCCGUGAAGCUCGGGAGGAUGAAGCUGCGGACGUGGAGCAGGGGAGAUGAACUCUGUUUUGAGGCUGGGAUGCUUAAUCUGCAGACGGGAUGGGUAGCUUGGGACUUCGUUAACGGCUGGGAUCAGGGGGGUGGUGUUCUUGGCUGAGAGGAGAUGUCGGAAGAAUUGGGAGCUGUGAACGGUGGGGUCAAUCCAGGAGCAAGGUUGGUUUGAUUCUAUCUCGUGGAUCAUGCGGGAGGAGAUGGGAUGCACUCGAUGACGCAAAUCAGAGGAGAAUAGCAUGAGAGGAACUCACGGAACGGUUGUUUGAAGGAGUUGGCUUGGCUGAUCCGGGUAAGGAUGGAUCACAAUGAGAUGGCGAGAGUGAUUUUUGGAUGACGGAAUGGCUGGGAUUUGAAGAGCCUGGGAAUUCGGCUGGAUUGGAGUGUCUUUUUUCCUUUUCUUUUCUUGAACACGGAAGGGAGGAAUGACGUGGAAGAAGGGGAGGGGACUCAAUUUGGGAUGCACGGAAUUCAGAUUUGUGAAAGGAAUUUGUUUGGGAUGAGCUCAAUGUUGAAAAAUGACCAGAAUCAAAAGAUAGACCAAAUUCAAUGAACAAGAAAUAAGGGAGUUGGAAUGAACAGCCGAAUCAGAAUUUGAGAG
rnacentral:lncRNA from 1 species